CCUUAUGCUUUUGGAGCNGCCGAUGUCUGAUUAGCUAGUUGGUAAGGUAAUGGCUUACCAAGGCGACGAUCAGUAGUUGGUCUGAGAGGACGGCCAGCCACACUGGGACUGAGACACGGCCCAGACUCCUACGGGAGGCAGCAGUGGGGAAUUUUGGACAAUGGGCGCAAGCCUGAUCCAGCAAUGCCGCGUGAGUGAAGAAGGCCUUCGGGUUGUAAAGCUCUUUCAGUCGAGAAGAAAAGGUUGUGACUAAUAAUCAUAACUCAUGACGGUAUCGACAGAAGAAGCACCGGCUAACUACGUGCCAGCAGCCGCGGUAAUACGUAGGGUGCGAGCGUUAAUCGGAAUUACUGGGCGUAAAGGGUGCGCAGGCGGUUCUGUAAGUCAGAUGUGAAAUCCCCGGGCUUAACCUGGGAACU
rnacentral:rRNA from 1 species